AACGAACGCUGGCGGCAGGCUUAACACAUGCAAGUCGAACGGAUCCUUCGGGAUUAGUGGCAGACGGGUGAGUAACGCGUGGGAACGUACCCUUUGCUACGGAAUAACUCAGGGAAACUUGAGCUAAUACCGUAUGUGCCCUACGGGGGAAAGAUUUAUCGGCAAAGGAUCGGCCCGCGUUGGAUUAGCUAGUUGGUGGGGUAAUGGCCUACCAAGGCGACGAUCCAUAGCUGGUCUGAGAGGAUGAUCAGCCACACUGGGACUGAGACACGGCCCAGACUCCUACUGGAGGCAGCAGUGGGGAAUAUUGGACAAUGGGCGCAAGCCUGAUCCAGCCAUGCCGCGUGAGUGAUGAAGGUCUUAGGAUUGUAAAGCUCUUUCACCGGUGAAGAUAAUGACGGUAGCCGGAGAAGAAGCCCCGGCUAACUUCGUG
rnacentral:rRNA from 1 species